rnacentral:rRNA from 1 species
CGGUAACAGCUCAAAUUUGAAAUCUGACCUUCACGGGUCCGAGUUGUAAUUUGUAGAGGAUGUUUCGGAUAGGCUUUGGUUUAAGUUUCUUGGAACAGAACGUCAUAGAGGGUGAGAGCCCCGU